AAUCCGUUGACUUUUAAAAUCGUGAGGGUUCAAGUCC
rnacentral:tRNA from 1 species